AAUAGCUUGGUUAAUAUUUGCAGAGUGGUUCAGCUCUUUUCUCUCUCCUGCCUCUCAAAAAGAUGCUAUUCCUGUGAUAAAACCAUUACAGUCCUUCCAAGGUUAUACAUGACUUUCAGGCUUCAGCCUCCAUAGCAGCAGGCUGGGGAUGAGGCUGAAGAUGAAGACUGAUGCUUUUCCAAGUGGGCACCCAGCCAUUCCAGCACUGUUUAUUGGGAAGACAGUCUUUUCUCCACUGAAUUACUUUGUCAUCUUUGUUGACACCUAACUGACCAGCUCUAAUUAUUUAUUGCGUGCCACUGCCUUGGCUGUGAGAGACAGGAAGAGAAAGAAGAGACCGUCGCUGAGCACCAUCCUGAGACUGCCUGUGGCCAGUGCCGAAUGGGGCCCACCCAGUAUCUGAGGACUCACAUCCCUGUGCCCUGUGGUUCCUAACGCUUGACUUUCCCUCCUCUCUCAUUCCUGUUAACCCAGAUGUGUCAGCUUUACAUUCCAGAUAGCCAGCUGAACAUGCUGUCCUCGUAUCAGUCAUCUAUACAAACCCAAGGAGCUGUGAGAUGAAUAAUACACAGCAGACAAUACCACAAAGUAGUCUCUUUUGAGCACUGCAUCUACAAAAUGUCAUUUCUCUAAGACAUAUGAGCUAAUCCAUUUGUACUCUGUUUCUUAUCUUCCAUCAGUUAAUAUACUGGGCUCAGCAUUUAGCUGUGGUAAUAUGUGGUUUCUGACUGCUGUACCCUAUAGCAUUUCCUGUAACGAAAUUAUGUUGAUGCCACUAAAAUAUUCACUGAGGCAGUGUCAGGUGUGAUAAACACAUCCUUCAAAUGCAGAAACACUUGACAAAAGUUUAAAAUGAUUGAAUUGUCAUGUAAAAAUAAACCAGUGAUAUUUAUGGAAUUAGGCAGACAGCAUAGCCAAUAAAGUGUUAUUCUUUUAUAAACAUCAA